UACGGAGGAUCCAAGCGUUAUCCGGAAUCAUUGGGUUUAAAGGGUCCGUAGGCGGUUUGGUAAGUCAGUGGUGAAAGCCCAUCGCUCAACGGUGGAACGGCCAUUGACACUGCCAGACUUGAAUUAUUAGGAAGUAACUAGAAUAUGUAGUGUAGCGGUGAAAUGCUUAGAGAUUACAUGGAAUACCAAUUGCGAAGGCAGGUUACUACUAAUGGAUUGACGCUGAUGGACGAAAGCGUGGGUAGCGAACAGG
rnacentral:rRNA from 1 species